ACUCACUCACUGCCAAGACUUAUCCAGAGACACAUAAAGAUCAUCGGUGCACAUAAAGCUCCAUCUCCGUCGAGAAGACGAAGGAAGAGGGAGGAAAGAAACAUGCUUCUGUUGCCCCCUCCACCUCUCCCCACCCGCUUCCCUUCAAUUCGCUUCACUCCUCCGAUUCUCCGCUACCACCACUUCUCUCCACCGCCCCUUUACGCCGCCGCAGCGACUCCUGGCGAAGUCUCCCUUUCAUACAAAACCCCCGGCGGCGAGGGCGAGGGCGAGGGCGAGGGCGAUUCACUCCACAACCGCCGCUACGAUUUCGCGCCUCUACUCCAGUUCCUGUCGACGUCCUUUUCCCCAUCAGAGUCCGAGCCUGGGUCUGACUUGGCCUCCCCGGCGUCGCUCGACCCCACCGAGUUCCAACUCGCCGAGUCUUACCGAGCUGUCCCCGCCCAGCUCUGGCACUCCCUCCUCAAAUCCCUCUGCUCCUCCCCCUCCUCCUUCCCCACCGCGUACGCCGUCGUUUCGUGGCUCCAGAAGCACAACCUCUGCUACUCCUACGAGCUCCUUUACUCUAUCCUCAUCCACGCACUCGGUCGCUCCGACAAGCUCUACGAGGCCUUCCUCCUCGCUCAGACCCAAAAAAACAUAACCCCUUUAACCUACAACGCCUUAAUCAACGCCUGCGCUCAGAGCAAUGACGUCGAAAAAGCCCUAAAUUUGAUCUCUGCAAUGCGUAAAAAUGGUUACCAUUCCGAUUUUGUGAAUUACAGUCUGAUAAUUCGGUCACUCACUCGCACUAGCAAGGUUGAUUCUGCAGUUCUCCAAAAGCUUUACGAGGAAAUCGAGAGUGAUAAGAUCGAGCUUGAUAUCCAGCUCUUCAAUGAUUUAAUCGUGGCGUUUGCGAAAUCGGGUGAUUUGGAUCGGACUAUGUUCUUCCUAGCUAUGGUUCAGGCCAAUGGGCUGAGCCCCAAAUCUGCAACUCUGGUUGAGGUUGUAUCUUUGCUGGGAGAUUUGGGAUUGACUGUGGAAGCAGAGGCUCUUUUUGAGGAGUUAAGAGAAGGUGGAUUGAGGCCGAGGACUCGUGCUUACAAUGGACUCCUCAGAGGGUAUGUAAAGAUUGGAUCAUUGAAGGAUGCAGAGUCAAUCGUGUCGGAGAUGGAGCGGAAUGAGGUCUCGCCGAAUGAGGAGACCUACAGUCUUCUCAUCGAUGCUUAUGGGAAUGCAGGUCGCUGGGAGAGUGCUCGAAUUGUAUUGAAGGAGAUGGCUGCAAACAAUGUGCAGCCUAAUUCAUAUAUUUUUAGUAGGAUUUUAGUGGGCUAUAGGGAUAGAGGUGAGUGGGGAAAAUCAUUUCAAGUCCUAAGAGAGAUGAGGAGAGGAGGGGUUCGCCCCAAUACGGGUUUUUACAAUGUGAUGAUUGAUACUUUUGGAAAGUAUAACUGUCUAGAUCAUGCUGUGAACACAUUUGAUCGGAUGAGAUCGGAGGGGAUUAGACCUGAUAAUGUUACAUGGAAUACGCUGAUUGAUUGUCACUGUAAGUUGGGUAAACAUCAGAGAGUGGAGGAGCUGUUUGAGGAAAUGCAAGAGAGUGGGUGUUUGCCUACCAUCACAACGUACAAUAUAAUGAUCAAUUCAUAUGGGGAGCAGGAGAAAUGGAGGAAGGUGAAGGACUUGUUGGGCAGAAUGCAGAAUCAGGGAUUGCUGCCCAAUGUUGUCACGUACACCACACUCAUUGACAGUUAUGGACGAUCAGGAAAGUUUCGUGAUGCGAUCCAGUGCUUGGAGGCGAUGAAGUCUGCAGGGUUCAAGCCGUCCUCAACCAUGUAUAAUGCCUUGAUUAAUGCUUAUGCACAAAGGGGUCUUUCUGACCAAGCUAUAAAUGCAUUCAGGGCCAUGAAAGCAGAUGGUGUAAAACCUAGUGUUUUAGCUCUCAAUUCAUUAAUCAAUGCAUUUGGCGAGGAUAGAAGGGAUUCUGAAGCCUUUGCUGUCUUGCAGUACAUGAAAGAAAAUGAUGUUGUGCCAGAUGUGAUUACAUACACCACACUUAUGAAAGCUCUCAUUCGUGUUGAGAAGUUUAAUCAGGCAACUCUUGCCACAGCUGCAAUGUAUUUCAGGAAUUAUUUUUUCAUGGAUAUUUCACGCCUCUUACUCAUUUAUUGAAGUAUGCAUGAACUAUUAAAGUGGAUAUAUAUUCCUAAGGUAGUGCUUGGGAGUGUACAUCUCAUGCUUGGAUUUGGAUUUGCAUGGAUUUGAAAGAAACUUAAUACAAUUUUAUAUUAUGUUUUGACCAAAUUUUCACAAAUCCAAAUCCAAGGUCCAAAUUUCCAAAUGCAAGGCAGGAGUUUAUGCUUCCACUGGGAAAAAAAUAUAAAGUGGGUAGAAGUGUGAUGCAGGACAGUAAAAGAGACAAAGAAAAAGAGAAACAGAAAUGAGAAGUGGAGAAGGGAGAAAAAAAAAAAAAAAAAAAAGAAGUGGAGAAGGGAGAAGAAGAGGGAAACAGCAGGACAGAACAGAGAGAGAGAGAGAGAGAGAGGAAGGGAAGAAGGAGAAUGAAGAAGAUAGACGGAAGAUGAAGAAAAAGAAGAAGAGAAGAGGCAGAGGGAAACCAGUUCUGGAAUUCUGAAUUGGAAAAUAACAACUGUCACACGACAUAUGAAAAAGGUUCCAGCUGUCUAUGAAGAGAUGAUUUCAUCUGGGUGCCCUCCCGACAGAAAAGCCCGAGCAAUGUUACGAUCUGCUUUGAGAUACACGAAGAAAUUUUGAAGUUGUAGCUAGAUAGAUCCACCAGAAGUCAGCUUAUCAUACUAACAACAAUGUUAGGCCUUUCAGGCUAAACAAUUGAUGGCCAUGGUUUAAACUCACACAACCCACAGUGCCACGUAAGGAAGAGUUAAUUGAGAUGGAGGGAACAAGCGAAAACAAGUGACAAAAGACAGUUAUUUAUGACUUUACCCAUUAUUAAAUGGAAUUCAAAUUUGAUCAACAAAUAGGCACGAGUUCAAUUUCCAAUAUAACGGUAAAGAUCUUUCUAGGAUUGCAUUAGAUUUCAUAAAUGUUUUCUCACAUGUACAAAACACUAAAAAUACCAAGAGAUGACAAUGUUCUAAGAAUUUAAAUAUAUUCUCCACACGUUGAUGCAUUACAA